GACGAACGCUGGCGGCGUGCCUAAUACAUGCAAGUCGAACGCAUUUUCUUUCACCGUAGCUUGCUACACCGAAAGAAAAUGAGUGGCGAACGGGUGAGUAACACGUGGGUAACCUGCCCAUCAGCGGGGGAUAACACUUGGAAACAGGUGCUAAUACCGCAUAAUUCCAUUUACCGCAUGGUAAAUGGAUGAAAGGCGCUUUUGCGUCACUGAUGGAUGGACCCGCGGUGCAUUAGCUAGUUGGUGGGGUAACGGCCUACCAAGGCUGCGAUGCAUAGCCGACCUGAGAGGGUGAUCGGCCACACUGGGACUGAGACACGGCCCAGACUCCUACGGGAGGCAGCAGUAGGGAAUCUUCGGCAAUAGACGCAAGUCUGACCGAGCAACGCCGCGUGAUUGAAGAAGGUUUUCGGAUCGUAAAACUCUGUUGUUAGAGAAGAACAAGGAUGAGAGUGGAAAGUUCAUCCCUUGACGGUAUCUAACCAGAAAGCCACGGCUAACUACGUG
rnacentral:rRNA from 1 species